rnacentral:rRNA from 1 species
GAUGAACGCUGGCGGCAUGCCUAAUACAUGCAAGUCGAACGGAGCGGGGCGAGGUGAGUGAAACGUGGAUAACCUACUAUAAGACUGGGGUAACUUCGGGAAACCGGAGCUAAACCGGAUACUUAUAGUUGGAGCCUGGGUGCAUUAGGUGGUUGGUAAGGUAACGGCUUACCAAGGCAACGAUGCAUAGCCGACUGGAGAGGGUGAUCUGCCACACUGGACUUGAGACACGGUCCAGACUCCUACGGGAGGCAGCAGUAGGGAAUCUUCCGCAAUGGGCGAAAGCCUGACGGAGCAAAGCCGCGUGAGUGAUGAAGGUCUUCGGAUUGUAAAAUUCUGUCAGUAGGGAAGCGGUACCCAAUCAGAAAGCACCGGCUAACUACGUGCCAGCAGCCGCGGUAAUUC